GAUGAACGCUGGCGGCGUGCCUAAUACAUGCAAGUCGAGCGAACGGACGAGGAGCUUGUUUCUCUGAUGUUAGGGGCGGACGGGUGAGUAACAUGUGGAUAACCUCCCUAUAAUUCGGGGAUAACUUCGGGAAACCGGCGCUAAUACCGGAUAAUAUUUUGAACCGCAGGGGUCAAAGGUGAAAGACGGUCUUGCGGUCACUUAUAGAUGGAUCCGCGCUGCUUUAGGUAGUUGGUAGGGUAACGGCUUACCAAGGCAACGAGGCAUAGCCGACCUGUGAGGCGGAUCGGCCGCACGAGAGCGUGGACACCGUCCAUGCUCCUGAGAGAGGGACCAGAAGGGAAUGUGCCGCAGUAGGCGAAAGCAUGACGGAGCAACGGCGCGUGAGUGAUGGAGGUCUUCGGAGCGUAAAACUCUGUUAUUAGGUAAGAACAGAUGUGUCAGGAACUGUGGACAUCGUGACGGUAACGAAUCAGAAAGCCACGGCUAACUACGUG
rnacentral:rRNA from 1 species